rnacentral:lncRNA from 1 species
GAACAACUUGGGAAAAACACAGCCUUGCUGUUGUGACAUUUUUUGCAGUAUUUCCAAGCGCUGUCUGUCCCGGUUGCAGGCAUUGGUGCUUCUAUAUUUGCAUAUUUUUUUUCUCAUCAAAAGGAAUUGUUGAAGUUUUGUAGUUGUUUUAACUUCUCGCCUUGGAUAUUUCAGUUCUUCACAUAACCACAUUUUCAGUGUCAGCACGUGGCCCGCGCUGCUCCCGCUCCUCUCUUUCUCUCCUCCUUGUUUUG